ensembl:snoRNA
AGGGUGUGCUCAGAGCAAGGAGCCUGAAGGAUGGCUCCUCUGUUUACAACACACCCAAUAGCAAUCUGAGGUCAUUGUGAGAAGGGGCACAAAAUUUGUGUCCUCCCUAUGAACAAAUGCCCCUACACAU